AUGGCAUUAAAAACACCAGUACUUUUCCUAUUGGCAAGAGCGUUCACAAAAACAUGUGGUUUUUUGCUUUGGAAAAACCCCUUUGCAUUUUGGGCUGAAUGUAAAAAAAAUUUCUGUGGAAAAUACAAGGUCUUCUGUAGGGAAAACGCUUCCAGAAACAUCCCCCCCCCAUGUUUGUGUGCAUGUGUGUAUGUGCGUGUGCAUGCCAGAAUGACACAAAUUUUCAGUGAAGAGAAAGCUUUUUUUGAAAUGUUCUGUUUUCACAAAAUAAGCAAAGAUUUACAUCUUGCUAAUCGAUGCGUUCCCUUUUCUUUCAUAAAGGAUACCCUCGGAGUGAACCGGGCAAAACCUCUCGAGAUAAGCAACCCUCCUAAUGGAAUGAUAGGGUCACCACUAACUGCUCAAGAAGACUUCCAAACUGCCUCUGCCUGGGAUCAGCAGGCGACCUUGCGUCCUCAAAGCAACAAGAUGCACUGGGUGAUGCCACGCGACCAGAUUGUGGAAACAGUGGGUGGGCUCUUAAAUCAGGUGAGCAACAGAUCAUAAGAAAUCAGUGUACAGGGUCUACAAUACCUCGAACCAUGAUUAUGUCAGGUGAGAAGCACUCCUUCCACACCGCAGGUCACAGCUAUUCUAUGUAGAGUUGCUGCAGUCAGUUUUUGUCGCUUCAGAGCUGUCCUGCUGGUGACAAAUGUCUUUUGUAUUUAGCUGUGCUCAUCCCCAAAUCAGAGUAAUCCAGUCAGUCUUCAUGGCUGCGCUCAAAACCUCACCAUCCUGGCAGAAUCCUCCUCUGACAUGGCCUUCAAGACCUGGAGCAUUACCUUCACGCCAUGAUCAGAUGACUGAACAGAAUCUAAAACCAAAUAUAAAUACAGAAUAACCAUAUGUAAAGGACAGUGAUCUUUCCCCACUUUUCUCAAAGUUGUUCUUCUCUCCUCAGAAAUGCGAACACAUCAGCUACCUAGAGGACACACUGGUUUCUUACUCACCUCGUGUGUUUGCAGAGGAAGGUCCCUUGGAGAAAUCGGGAUCUAUUUGGUCCCUACAUAUUGUAGAUGACGACGACAGUCUACCUCCAGAUUUCUUGGACACGUUGGGACCCCGAUUUGCUAUGCUUGGCAGAAUAUGCAGCAAGUGACGGACUAUAUUGUUCAUGUGUGUGCAGCCAAGAAUAUACCUUGAUGCAGAAUGACUAGUUAAGUAACGAUGCACUGAUUUCUGCAGUUGCAGAAAAAGGAGGAGAAGAGAUCCUCAGUUCCCACUUCCGUUGUCUUGGUAACAAAAGUGGAUGAGUUCUGGUUCUACGGCCCAGGCCCAAAUAAUUUCAUAACAGGGAAAUGGAAUUCUACCUUGUAGUGCAAAAACAAGCCUUUUGGUGGGGAAUCGGAUUUACGCUUUUGGUUCAGCUUGAAAACCAAGCUUGAAUGGUCUCUUGGUUUGGAUGUGCAGUUGCAGCUUCUUUAAAGCAGAGCAUGAGGGGAAAACUUUUUGUUUGUUUGUUUGUUUAGAUUACGACUCCCAAAAAGUAAGAACUAAGAUUCAGGUUCUGGAAGGUGUUGCUUUACAAAUAAACUCUUCCAAGCUCUACUCUUAGAAGGUGGA
ensembl:lncRNA